UACGUAGGUGGCAAGCGUUGUCCGGAUUUACUGGGCGUAAAGAGCGCGCAGGCGGUCGUUCAAGUCGCGUGUGAAAGCCCCCGGCUCAACUGGGGAGGGUCACGCGAUACUGAUCGACUCGAAGGCAGGAGAGGGUAGUGGAAUUCCCGGUGUAGCAGUGAAAUGCGUAGAUAUGCGGAGGAACACCGAUGGCGAAGGCAAUCCCCUGGGCCUGUACUGACGCUCAUGCACGAAAGCGUGGGGAGCAAACAGG
rnacentral:rRNA from 1 species